AAAUUGAGAUAAUUAUUUAAAUCAACUCGUUCUAGUUCGAGACAAAAGUAAUUUACAUUUUAUAGUAGUUGACAUCUUAAAUAAAUAAUGAACAAAGAUAUUAUUUGGGUUAAUCGUUGUAAAAUUAAGGUUUGGAAAUUUCAAAACCCACUAUUUAAUGAAAUUGGUUUUUAGUUUGAAAUAAUUUAAAUUGAAAUAAAUAUGUGUAAAACAGGUAUCGCAGCAUAUAAAAUAAAAGUUACACUGUUCCAAAAUCUUCUGGUAUAAUAAUAAUUUAAAAAUUAAUUAACACUUUUAUUAUGCCUUCCUCAUUUUUUAACCGUCUUCGUCAUCUUCUUUGUCAUUCUGUCUGUCAUUCUCUUUUCCCUUUCUUUCCGUUUUCUCUCACUCACAUCUAAAUGCUUCGUUCCACACUCUUUUCAUACGUUCCACUGUUACCAAUCCUACAUAUCGUCUUCUCGCAUUAAAACUGUAUAAUCUCAAAACUUACUCAUUUUACAGGAGAGUGUUUUAAAGGUUUAACAUGUGAUAUUUUUAAUAUUAAUCAUCUUUGCAAUAUUUAUUUUUUACCAGUUACAUUAUCUGUCUUUUAAAGUAAGUUAUAAUUAUGUAUUAAUUUUGUUAAUAGUAGUCAAGACAUGGGUAAAUUAAAAAAAAAAAACUAAACUACGCUUUUUUGACCGUAUUUAUGAGAAAAAUACUGGUGAUAUGAAAUGAUUCCGCAUAUUAACUCAAUUUCGAAUAUUUUUAGAAAAUGCACUCUUUUAAUGCGAAAAGAUGACUUCAUUAGUACCAGCUCUCGGCUAUUAUGGAACGCCGCGGCCCGAUUGCUUCAUGUAAGAUAAAAAAAAAAGCAAAUUCACACGUAAAAUCUCCGAAAUAAACCAAGUAAUGAUAUCAAAGUCAAACCCACGGUUUGUUCGAUAGGAUCGAUCGAAAUGCGGGUCCAACUGAACAGUCCCAUUCUGAAAAUAUUCACUUCAUCUAAUUAACAAACACCAAUGCCAAUCUAUAUCCGUCGUCGAAAUCGAUGCGAUAACUUCAUUUAAUAAAAUAGAAACUAUUCUUUAUUAUUAUUAUAGGUAUUUCAAUAUUAUUUAUAUUCCUCAAUUAAUAUAGAAUCUAUUUUAUUUCACUGCUAACUUUUAUUGCUCUCAACAUAUGGAUAUAAUAUAUUUCUCUCUCUUUCAUCUAAAUAUAAACUCUGUAGUUCUUAAAUGUCUAUGGAACUAAAAUUACAGUUUGUACCAUGAUUUUGUCGUUUUUUUUUAAACUUAAGUCCCUAAUCGCGGGGAGAAAAACGAAUGAGUAACUUUCGACUUUUGUUAAAUUCCGGUAGUGUUAAUAGAAAUUGCCAAAAGAGUGCAGCUUGUAUUUAGUGAAAGUUCAAAAAGAUUUGUGAUCAGUUGGGAUAUAAUUUGAAUUGCAUAUGAAUCAUUCUUCUCUCCGCGAGCCGUCAGUUAUCAUUUCGAGCAUUUCGGAACACCAGACUAAAUGUUCACACGGUCGACCCUCCCGCCUACACCCACAGAAUAACGCGCAAGGAACAAGCUAGUAGUAGGUCAGGGAAUGAACCGAAACCGCAUUACGAUAUCUAUAGGAAUAACGUUUCUGCACGCUCAGAUACCAUCAUCUAGCAAUCGUGAUUCCGGUCAACUCCCGUUAUGUAAAAAUUAAAACUAUCCUAACUUACAUAGAAUGACGCGCCGCCCCUUUCGUUUCAAAUAUAUUUCUAUACAUUUAUGCUUAAGGAAAAGUGACUUUCAUAUAAUAUCUUUUUUUUUCUUUUUUCUUUUUACUAUUUCAUAUCUUUUUCGGACGUCACCAACAUGUUUACGGUCUCAGAGACAAAUGUACUGUAAAUUAACCUAUACGACUAAUACAACAUCCAGUUAUAGAUGAUUCGCGAAGUAAUCUAAAGUCUUCCAACUAUUAAUCCAUUACUAUGAAUCUUAUGGGGAGUGAAAACUCAUCUACUCUUUUUAAUCGAUAACCAAAAUGCGCUUCUACAGACCUUUGGGGACAUAACGUUUAAAUUUUCUUAAACGAGGUCCGUAAAAUUACGCUUAUAACUAUUUCCUAAUCACAUAAACGCGUUUUGCUGGAAGCUGGACUAAAAAGAAAAAAAUCUUGCUUACGGAAUAUGAUUUUAAAAAUUAUUUUAUAAGUGAAAGAGAUGAAUAAUUAAAUUCGAAGUUUCCUAUUUUAAAUCUAUUUCAACAUGAUUAUUUUAACAAAGCAGUAGUGACAGAUUGCGACACAUUCUUGGAAAGCAAAAUAACUAAGUCGAUGUAAUAACCGAGAUCACUUCAAUUCAAGAAAUUUGAAAAAAAAAAGAAGUUUAUUUAAUACACACAUAAUCAGUUAAUACAUCGACUCCAAAAAGCUAAAAUAACGCCACCAUAACGCAAAAAACACGAAAGAGCUUACCAUUAAAAGUUGUUCUACAAAGUCGUCGGCGUAUACGACGAAAUCAUCGAGACAGACAAAAAUGAUUUAAAACGCACUAUGUACAGUUUCAACUGAUUUUCGUAAUUAAAUGCUACAAUAUAGAUAUAUAAUCACUACACUAUAAAAAAUGUCAACCUAAAAUAAACAAAAGUCAUUUACGAUUCUUAAAUACACUUUAAACAUCAAUACAGAGGAAUUUGAUGAAAACCCUUAAUGAUGUCGAACGUCAAAAAUAAAAAUGAUACCAUUUGGUACCCCGUUUUAUAGAUGUAUAAUUGAUUCUCUAUUUAGCACAUAUUGCGGAUCUCAGAUGUUAGGAGGGAUAGAAUUAUGUACUUCUCACGAUCGUAUGUCUACUCAUCUGGGAAUUCGAUUUUUUUCUAAUGUUAGGCCAUAUAAUGUCGUUAAUUAAAAACACGCGUUAAAAACGGUAAAGCUACAAAAAAGGCAAUGCGAAAAAGCUAAAACAAAUAAAGAGUGAUAUUUACGGGGCUCAUAUAGCGAUAGUCGCGAUUAAAAAUAAAUACACUGUAAACAAUAGCAGUAAAAUGCAUAAAUACACAGUGGAAGGCACGUCUGACGCCUGAUGUAGUGCUGAACUUAAGCUAAUGCGUCCUGCGCACUUAUAUAUUCGUACAUAUAUACAAAACACACGCGCACACAUACAUUUUGUCCUUGUGAUGGAUUUCAUGGUACGUUAUUAUUUUGUGAGAGUGAAGUUGUAAGGCUCAUUGUUAAAGUCGAAAAUCAUCUGACUAGUCCGUUCACAGCUCAUCAUUUCAAUUUAAAUACAAGCUUAAAGAAGAUUCCAAAACCUAUAAUUUUUCAAGUGAUUGAAAAAUGAGUUGAUUAUAUGAGCCAUAUGCAUUUUUUUUUAAUUAAGCUUGUAAUUUGAAAUUCUAGAGGUAUUUAAAUUAAAAUCCAUCUCAAAGCAUUAACACAGGGUGCUUACACAACCAAACUUAUCCUACCCUUUGGUUCGGCCGCGAGCGGCGCGGUAUUUACCACACUUUUAGGCGGACUUAAAUUUUGAUUGUCUUUUUAAAGACAUAGGCUUAGAAAUGUUCUACCUAAAACCCAUUAAUGUACGUUUAAUACCUAGGUUUUUUUUUAAAUAAUUAAU